rnacentral:rRNA from 1 species
AGAGUUUGAUCAUGGCUCAGGAUGAACGCUAGCGGCAGGCUUAAUACAUGCAAGUCGAACGGUAAAUAGUGUAGCAAUACAUUAUGAGAGUGACGUACGGGUGCGUAACACGUAUGCAACCUACCUUGUACAGGAGUAUAGCUCGGGGAAACUCGAAUUAACACUUCAUAGUAUGUUUGUGUGGCAUCACAUAGACAUUAAAACUCAGGUGGUACAAGAUGGGCAUGCGUCUGAUUAGUUAGUUGGCGGUGUAACGGGCCACCAAGACGAUGAUCAGUAGGGGAACUGAGAGGUUGAUCCCCCACACUGGCACUGAGAUACGGGCCAGACUCCUACGGGAGGCAGCAGUAGGGAAUAUUGGUCAAUGGAUGCAAGUCUGAACCAGCCAUGCCGCGUGCAGGAAGAAGGCCUUCUGGGUUGUAAACUGCUUUUGCCAGGGGAUAAAAUGGGAGUGCGCUCCUAAUUGAAGGUACCUGGUGAAUAAGCCACGGCUAACUACGUGCCAGCAGCCGCGGUAAUACGUAGGUGGCAAGCGUUGUCCGGAUUUAUUGGGUUUAAAGGGUGCGUAGGCGGUCUAUUAAGUCAGUGGUGAAAUAUGGCAGCUUAACUGUCAAGGUGCCAUUGAUACUGAUGGACUUGAGUGAAGUCGAGGUUGGCGGAAUUGACGGUAGCGGUGAAAUGCUUAGAUAUCGUCAAGAACACCGAUAGUGAAGACAGCUAACUAGGCUUAUACUGACGCUGAGGCACGAAAGUGUGGGGAUCAAACAGGAUUAGAUACCCUAGUAGUCC